GCCCAGUCUUCCUUUCUUGGUCUGAUUUAUACGCGGCAUAAGGAUAUACAAAAACAUGCUCUUGGACAGCAGCAGAAGAUGAGUUGUCUGGGAUGUGAAAGCAGAGAGCAUCAAAGAAAACCUUUGUUUUGGUCUUGGGGUGGAGCGGGGCUCAUUAUCCUGGUGUCCGAAACUCAACUCUCUGCUCCCCACUGCCUACAGACUGUGGAAAGUAAGUCCAAAUGUAA
rnacentral:lncRNA from 1 species